UGGCUAGUAAGGCAUGCACAUAGGUCCACA
rnacentral:piRNA from 1 species